rnacentral:rRNA from 1 species
UACGGAGGGGGCUAGCGUUGUUCGGAAUUACUGGGCGUAAAGCGCACGUAGGCGGCGAUCUAAGUCAGAGGUGAAAGCCCGGGGCUCCGAACCCGGAAUAGUCCUUUGAGACGUGGUAUUGCUAGAACGUCCGGGAGAGGUGAGUGGAACUUCCGAGUGUAGAGGUAGAAAUUCGUAGAUAUUCGGAAGAACACCAGUGGCGAAGGCGGCUCACUGG